AUGGCAUUUUACUCAGAUCAUCAUGCUUAUGUGAGCAACACUACAAACAGCACAGAAAGUAUUCAAGAACUGAUAAGUAAGAUUUCCCAUCGAUUAGAUGAUUUAGCUCGGCAGCGAGAAGUAGUUUUCGAGGAUAGGCCUAGCUCUUAUGAUCCUUAUUCUAGAGGUCAUCCUUAUGUUGCUCCUACAUGCCAUAUUUGUGGAUUUCAGGGCCAUUCACCCGCUGAAUGUCAGCGUGGUUACUCUCACCCUCCCAAUUGUUAUGGCAUGAGCUUCGCCCCACAGCCUAGCUCAUACCAAAACAAUUACUCAUAUGGGUGGCCUGAAAACCAGAAUAUGUCAUAUAGGAACAACAACCCUGAGAUCUCACUGUUUGCUUCUAGUAAUCAUAUGCAGGGAUUUAGGUACAAUGAGGAGAGCCACAACUAUGUACCACGACAAUUUCAUUCAGCUCCUACUCAUAUACCUCAACACCAGGAGAUGUUGCCAAUGGAGUUAAAUGGUCCUCCAUUUGGUCAACCAACACCUUCAACACAAGUGCCCACACAAGAUGAUUUUGAUGAUAUAGACAAGCUCACACUGCUUAGUCUCGAGUUCACUUGGAGUGCUGAAGAUGAUCCAAUUAGGCCGGUGAUACUAGAGGAAAUGAAGAAGAUCAAGAGUGGAAAAGAGCUAGUGGAAGAAGGAAAAUUGAGAAGAAUAUGA
rnacentral:rRNA from 1 species